rnacentral:rRNA from 1 species
UGGGGAAUUUUGGACAAUGGGGGAAACCCUGAUCCAGCCAUCCCGCGUGUGCGAUGAAGGCCUUCGGGUUGUAAAGCACUUUUGGCAGGAAAGAAACGUCAUGGGUUAAUACCCCGUGAAACUGACGGUACCUGCAGAAUAAGCACCGGCUAACUACGUGCCAGCAGCCGCGGUAAUACGUAGGGUGCAAGCGUUAAUCGGAAUUACUUGGCGUAAAGCGUGCGCAGGCGGUUCGGAAAGAAAGAUGUGAAAUCCCAGAGCUCAACUUUGGAACUUCAUUUUUAACUACCGGGCUAGAGUGUGUCAGAGGGAGGUGGAAUUCCGCGUGUAGCAGUGAAAUGCGUAGAUAUGCGGAGGAACACCGAUGGCGAAGGCAGCCUCCUGGGAUAACACUGACGCUCAUGCACGAAAGCGUGGGGAGCAAACAGG